CUGGGACUAAAAGGCAUCUUAAAAGGGACGAUCGAUUUGAUAACAGUGUAAUAGAAAGCAUCCCUUCUCCUGGGAGAGUGUUUUCAGAGAUACCUGCCAGUAGCUCAAGAGAUCCGUCAUUGGACGAGGCUAAAAAAUGUAUAGGUAGAUACUUCUAUGAGACAGCAACUGAUUUUGAUGUUGUCAAAUCAUGUAGCUUUCGCACAAUGAUUGAUUCCACCCUUGGUCAUGGGAAGAUAAUUCCCAGCUGCGAGGAGUUAAAAGGGUGGAUCCUCGAGGAUGCUGUAAAAGCGAUGCAAAACUUUGUGAAGGAUAUAAGAACUUCAUGGAUAAGUACAGGUUGUAGCAUUGUACUGGAUGGUUGGAUAGACGAGAAAGGUCGAGACCUUGUGAAUAUUUUAGUGAAUAGCCCCAAGGGUGCGGUUUAUCUUAGAUCAUCUGAUAUUUCAGCUUUUGUUGGGGAUGUUGAUGCCAUGUUAUUGUUCCUUGAGAAGGUUCUGGACGAAGUUGGGGUCGAGAAUGUGAUUCAAGUUAUUACAUAUUCGACAUCAGCCUUCAUGAAAGAAGUGGGCGAGCGGCUGACAAACAAGCACAGACAUGUUUUUUGGACAGUGAGUGCUUCUACCUGCUUAGAACUUAUGUUAGUAAAAUUUGAAAGUAUGAGUUUCAUUAGAGAUAUAUUGGAGAAGGCCAGAACAAUAACAAGCUUCGUCCAAAACCACCCGAGUGCCCUGAAACUUUUGAGAGCUUAUACUCGGGUAGAGAACCUUGUAAAGUCUUCCAAAAUUAGGUCUGCAGAGCCAUACUUGACCCUUGAGAAUAUUGUUUUGGAGAAGAAGGGUUUGGAAAACAUGUUCUCUUCAUCCGAGUGGAGAACCUCAGAUCUGUCAGACUCCAUCGACGGAAAAAAUGUCGAUUACUUGGUGGCAGAUCCUACUUUUUGGAAUGGGGCAUUAGUGGUUUUGACGGCAGCUAUUCCUAUAGUACGGGUUUUAUACUUGAUAAACAAGAACAAUAAGCCCCAAAUUGGUCUUAUAUACGAAACAAUGGAUCGAGCCAAGAAAACAAUCAAAGAGGGGUUCAAAAAUAA
rnacentral:lncRNA from 1 species